rnacentral:rRNA from 1 species
AGAGUUUGAUCAUGGCUCAGAACGAACGCUGGCGGCGCGCCUAAUACAUGCAAGUCGAGCGAGAAGGUGUAGCAAUACACUUGUAAAGCGGCGAACGGGUGAGGAAUACAUGGGUGACCUACCAUUGAGUGGGGAAUAACCAGCCGAAAGGCUGGCUAAUACCGCGUACGCUUCCGGAUUUUCGAGUUCGGAAGGAAAGCGAUACCGUGGGUAUCGCGCUCUUUGAUGGGCUCAUGUCCUAUCAGCUUGUUGGUAGGGUAACGGCCUACCAAGGCUUUGACGGGUAGCUGGUCUGAGAGGACGAUCAGCCACACUGGCACUGCGACACGGGCCAGACUCCUACGGGAGGCAGCAGUAAGGGAUAUUGCGCAAUGGGCGAAAGCCUGACGCAGCGACGCCGCGUGGGGGAUGAAGGUCUUCGGAUUGUAAACCCCUUUCGGGAGGGAAGAUGGGACGGGCAACCGUUCGGACGGUACCUCCAGAAGCAGCCACGGCCAACUUCGUGCCAGCAGCCGCGGUAAUACGAAGGUGGCAAGCGUUGUUCGGAUUCACUGGGCGUACAGGGUGUGUAGGCGGUUUGGUAAGCCUUUUGUGAAAGCUUCGGGCCUAACCCGGAAAGCGCAGAGGGGACUGCCAGGCUAGAGGACGGGAGAGGAGCGCGGAAUUCCCGGUGUAGCGGUGAAAUGCGUAGAGAUCGGGAGGAAGGCCGGUGGCGAAGGCGGCGCUCUGGAACGUAUCUGACGCUGAGACACGAAAGCGUGGGGAGCAAACAGGAUUAGAUACCCUGGUAGUCCACGCCCUAAACUAUGGACACUAAGUGUCGGCGGGUUACCGCCGGUGCCGCAGCUAACGCAUUAAGUGUCCCGCCUGGGAAGUACGGCCGCAAGGGUUGAAACUCAAAUGAAUUGACGG